AUUGAACGCUGGCGGCAGGCCUAACACAUGCAAGUCGAACGAGUGGCGGACGGGUGAGUAAUGUCUGGGAAUCUGCCCGAUGGAGGGGGAUAACUACUGGAAACGGUGGCUAAUACCGCAUACCAUCGGAUGUUCCCAGAUGGGAUUAGCUAGUAGGUGGGGUAACGGCUCACCUAGGCGACGAUCCCUAGCUGGUCUGAGAGGAGGACCAGCCACACUGGGACUGAGACACGGUCCAGACUCCUACGGGAGGCAGCAGUGGGGAAUAUUGCACAAUGGGCGCAAGCCUGAUGCAGCCAUGCCGCGUGUAUGAAGAAGGCCUUCGGGUUGUAAAGUACUUUCAGCGGGGAGGCGUUACUGGCAGAAGAAGCACCGGCUAACUCCGUGCCAGCAGCCGCGGUAAUUC
rnacentral:rRNA from 1 species